CCAGCUCACAGCAGAUAUCGAUGGCAGCAGUCUUUUUGGGUGCCCUCCUCUUUCUGAGGGGAAUUCUUGCCAAUCCAAAGUGCUCUGUUUCAGUGUAUCAGAAUAAUUCUGUUGCAUAUAUCAUCUCAGAGCCAAGCAGACCUGGCUGUACACGUGAAUGGACCUCAGCUGACACCAUGCUGGUUGAUAUGAAGGGGAAUUUUUUCCAUGAAGUCAUUUUGCACGUCGAACCACAAAGGAUUGUCACUGUAAACUGUCAGCAUAACAUCACAUAUCAUGAGGAAUGUUUAGCA